GUGGAUGAUGAUGCCGAGGACACCCGAGCAGAGGCAAUGAGGACUCUUCGCUUCGCUGACU
rnacentral:snoRNA from 17 species